CUUUGUUCGCCUGGAUUGUGUUAGGUUUUUAGUGCCUCGGUGUCUCAUGCCGUAGCAUAGAAAUGCUGGCAUACCAGCAGGCAUGUUUGGCUUGUGUUUGCCCGUUUGUUAAAGGUGUCCAGAAUCAACCGGGUGUAAUUGCCUUCCUAAUUCGGUGGUCUGCAGAUUGAGUUUAAGGAAAAGGUGUUAUCCGUGUCCUUAUGUUUUUUACAUGUACCAAAAGGAUCUAAUGCUAUCCAAGGGCAGCACUUUUGUAAAAGAAAGCAAUGCAAUAUUAAUUCACCGGCAGACUUAGCUAGGAGAUGGUUCAGCAAAGGUGGUAUCAGUUCUGUAGAAAAAGAGGACAUUUCACCAUCUUACCAUGUUGUUACUAAAGCAGCAGCAGCAAUUUCUAAUCUGAAAGGAUAAGUGUAGCUGGAAUUUCCUUUUGCCUGGGAAGACAGUUUAGGAUUUCUGGAAUACAUAAAGCUUCUUUUUGCUGCGUCGAAGGAACUGAUGCUGUGGUCUUGAGUUGGAUGGGUAUUUAUGCAAACCUGUCCUAAGGAAACAAAUUCUUAUUUUCAUUUUGUUUCAACAAUAGUGCUGCAGCAUUAGGCUGGGAAUGUCUUUUCCUGUCUAGUUGCAAAUUUCAGGGUUAACUAGCUGAAUCCCUCUGUGGUACCUUUUUCCUCUACCCCACCUCCCCCUCAAUGAGAACUGACCUCUGCAUUCUUGGCACUGUAACAAGAAAUGUGUGUUUCUCAGAUUGGUCUAGAAGCUUAGACUAUUAGAGGGCAACUUCAUAGGGAAAAGCCUCAGUUAAAUGCAUCCAUUUGGUCAAAGCUUUAUUAUCCUUUUAAUAGAUUCUGAAUAAAUCUUAAAUUAUCAAGUAUCCAUUGCAUUGUCUUUCAGAUUAAAGCUUUAUGCAAGUGCAGUGGGUUUGCAUCUGAUGGCUAGGAAAUAUUUAAAUGUCUUUUUUUUUCCCCCCAAAUUACAUGUAAUACAAUGUGUGUAUUUGGUUGUGUUUUUUUUUUUUUUUAAGGCUUCCUUCCUUCUCCUUAAACACCAAACUUCUCUAAUCUAACUAAGAUCUCAUGGUAGUUUAGGACUCUUUUUUUGACAUAAUCUGUCUACCAGGGUGAACUCUCAAAAUAGGUAGUUAAGCACAUGUUGAUCAUCACAAAGGUUCUAAUUUAGUUAUACAUACUUUAAGUUGCUACAUCCAUCUUGGAUUGAUGGUGUUUUAGAGAGGGACAGACAUGUUAUGGAUAUUUAUGAAUGGCCUGAUUUUGACACACUUAGUUUAUGAAGUGAGCUGUAGCUCACGAAAGUUUAUGCUCUAAUAAAUUUGUUAGUCUCUAAGGUGCCACAAGUACUCCUUUUCUUUUUAGUUUACUGUAAGACAGUAGCAGCCUUGAUUAAGCAUAACGGCCACAGGAGCACUGUACAAAAAUCUGAAGCCCUGAACUUUCUGUGAUUACCAACUGACAAUAACAUUUCUUUAAAUGUUCCUCGUAGAUGUUCUGCAGAACUAAUGUUGUCAGUGAUUUUUCCCCUUCCUGCGCAGCUAUCACUUAGAGAAUGGCAUUUCACCUAUUUAUUUUGCAUGAGUUAUAGUUCUCUGUUAAAAAUUACUACAGGUCUGAUGUGACAAGGUGGUAGUCUGAUGACAGGAUGUGAUCCUGAAAAAUCCGCCUUGGUGUUGUUUUGUCAGGGAGAUAACUAAGACUGGCCUGAGGAAUUUCAGCUAAAGCCCAGAUCAGAUUACUUGGCACUGACUUGCCAGUGAAGAACCUUUAGUAUGUCUCUGAGAUAGCUGGAUUAAUAUCCUGCACCUGUUAAAACCUCUGCCAACUUUGUAGGCCACUUCCUCUGUCAUAUCCUAGACUAGCUCAGCUGCUUGUAUGCAUCCCUUGUGAAAGAUUUGCUUAUGAGGUUGCAGUACAUGUGGUAAAUGCCAACUGCUUUGUUUGAAAGCAAAAAUAGCUUCAGUUUCAUUUCAAGGCCUUAUUUACACUAGAAGAAUUAGGGGUAUGAAUGGGGGAGGCUGUAGCUUGUGCAUUUUUACCACUGUUAUUUAAACAUACUCUGAGUAGGGUUAAACAACUUGGUUUGAAUCCAGUUGAUACUCCUGCCUCUACUGUUGCGAUUACCUGUGGAGAAUUGCAGCUGUGAAAUGUUAGUGUAGACAAGAUAUAAAACUGUUGUUUUUGAGACCCUGUGAACUCAACACCAGUCUACGUUUUUAUAUUCUCAAUGCUGUAGUAUGGGUGCCAGGUCAUUUCCUAGAAUUUGCAGAACAUCAUGGUUUUGAUAGCGUAUAAUUAAGUUUUUAAAAUUUGGUUACUUGCAGUAGGAAAAUGCAUGAUAGUAUGUGUGCUUAUUAGUUUAGGUGCUCUGGCAUGUUCCCAUUGAAGUGAUAGAAAAUUCAUCUAAUAUCUCAGAUGCCAUUCCCUGUCUGUAGUAUGUCCAGUAAUCUGCAAACAACUUAUUUUUCUUUCCUUAUUUCAGGGUGUGUGUUUUGUUGGGAAGUAUCUGUAUAUGCAACUUCAUAUUGGACAGGGCAUUCUGCAAAGACCUGUCAAUUGGUGACGGUCAAACUUUCUACCCUGCGCCCUAUCAUGUGUUGAUGAAAGAUACAGCUUGGACAAGGUCCCUUCCAAAUAAAUCGGAAUAUGAACACACAGCAGAAGUGCUGAUCCAUUGGUUGUGGCAACUAUCUAAUGGUGGUUUCUCUUGCAUAGUGAUAUGUUUCCAGAUGACUUAAAUUUCUUGAAAAAAGAAAAGGAGGACUUGUGACACCUUAGAGACUAACAAAUUUUAGUCUCUAAGGUGCCACAAGUCCUCCUUUUCUUUUUGAGGAUACAGACUAACACGGCUGCUACUCUGAAACCUUAAAUUACUUGAACUCUCAUGCUUCCUGCCUCUUGUUUGCAAAGUUUGCUAGGAGAGCUUCAAAAAGACACUGGACAUCAAGCUUAAAAAUCAUUCUAACUGAUUCUUUCUUCCAACUAUCAACUCCUUCCUUUCUAUUCUCAAGCCCUUUGAAGACAUUAAGUUUCUGCUUUAUUCACUUGACCUUUUAUGUAAUUGAGUCUGAAGUAAUACAAAUAAGAUUUGAAAAAUGAGGUUUAUUUUUUAAUGGCCUUUUUAUAUAGCUAUUGUGAAUGGCCCCUAGAUAAGCUGACUUGAACUACUACUAGGAUUUUGGGUGAGGUAUAAACCAGAUCACCUUGAGGCAUAAUUGUUUAGUCAAUGUCAUUAUUUUUUGGUACACUUUGGCAUUUUCAAAUAUAGCUGUUUUGUACCAUUGCUGCCAGCCUCAGUGACUUGUUCUUUUGACUCAAAAUUACCACCCCCACAUUACAGUUCCAAGAAAUAACAGUUCUGUGAAAUUCCAGUUUUAACCAUGUGGCUGUUAAAUUUUGGGAACUGAAAGCAAACUAGGUUUGUAGUUAAGUUUCAUGAUGCAUUUUAACAAUCUCCAUAUGUAAACAAUAUGAGCAUAUCUAAAGACUUGCCAAGCUCUUAAAGAUAAGGUCCCUCUGAUAUGUAUUUACAUAUAAGGAAGAAAGACAAAUAGAAAACAUGCAUAAGACUGCAGGGAGGUGCUGUUAAUCUUACUGCAAGUUAAAAUGCUGGAGAGAGGUAAACUCCAUUCUUUGGAGAAUGUUUUCAGCUUUCCUGGAAUUUAAGGUGUAGUUUUGAAACAUUAUUUUCUGUGUGCAUUGUGUAAAGAAUUCUGAAUCAGUGUCUUCACACAUUUGAUCAUUGAUUGUUGUUGUGUAAUUUUGUAGGACAUGGAUUUAUUCACUUUUUAAAAAUACAGAUUGUAAUAAUAAUGCUUAAUUCCUUGCUUCUAGACAUACGUAAUAGGGCUAAAGUGACUAUUGCUGUAUAUUGCCUCUGUCACCCUCAACACCCAGUAGUCCAAGCUAAGUUUGGUGUUGUAAUCUUUUACUUGUGUAAACUUGUCUAAUGUAAUCUAUAUGCAGAGUUCUGUAAGAUUUAUGGGCUAAAUAUCUUACAGGCAGAACUUAUUUUGCCUGCAGCAUCUUCAACAAAUGUUUUAUUAAAGGUUCAGACUUUGA